GACUUAACCUGAAUUGUCACGGGGGAUUACAUCCAUGCAAUGCACCAUCGCAUAACUACUAGACAAAAAUACGAAAAUAAUUAUUACACCAAUGGCACUGUUUCGACCGCGCGGCUAAAUGCAAUGACGAAGGGAAAAGGCUAGCUAGCGCCAGCAGCUCACAGAUUGUAGCCGCCUGCGGCAGCAGGUUUGUCAGCGGCAGCAGUUUUGGCAGGUUUGUCAGCGGCAGCAGUUUUGGCA
rnacentral:lncRNA from 1 species